GCGGAUGUGGCGGAACUGGCAGACGCGCUAGAUUUAGGUUCUAGUGUCUUAUGACAUGGGGGUUCGAGUCCCUUCAUCCGCAUCA
rnacentral:tRNA from 1 species